CAGACGGAGAAGUGGCCGUGGCAAACCAAGGGGAAAGAAACUGGGAUGCUCCAUCGUGUGUUCCCUGGGGACUCCCGUGGCCGCCGGUACAGAGAGCUGGUGGCAGCUUGCGUGGUCACAGGGAGAGGAGGGGUGGAUGACCAAGACCCAUCGCCUCCACCCCGGGGUCCUCGUCUCACCCGGUGUAGGGUCACCAGACCAGAAGAGGUGACCUGGCUUUCUGAGUCUCCACUUGCCGACAGCAGGCUGUGGGGCCACAAUCGCACAAGCCAGCUCCUGCACUAAAUCUGUGCUGCAUAGAUGGUGUUUCCACGCAAACGUGUAUGCAUUAAACGGAAUCCUGUCAUGCUACACAACCAUGAACACCUGCCCUGGCUUCUCCGUGCACACUCCUGUCCCUGGCUUUCGGAGAGAUUCUUCGUCCUGGAGUAACGGAGCCAAAGGGCAGGGCUGGGUGAGGCUCCUCCUCCCUCUCCCAGAUUCCCUCUCUGGAAGGGUGCAACGGGGCCCACGCCUGCAGCAGUGUGGAAGAGGAGCCUGGGUCACGAGGGACCUGUUGCCCCCCCCAGCCCCCUGCCUCACCCAUGCCUGUCUUCAGGCUUCCUGAGACACCACGCCCUGCGGCAGGGUGAUACACAUUGCUAGGGCAGCUGAGCAUGGCUCCAUACCCCACAGGGGGCCCCAGGGCUGCUGCACGGGCUUCGGGUUCCCUUUUUGCCGCGGGACCAAGGACCGCUCUCAGACGGAAGUGACCAAGGGCUGCUGCAGAGCUGGCUCAGCCGGAUGUCUCAACUUUCACAGUCUGCAUCCCCCUCUCCCCUGGGCUGCUCUGGGGUGGUUGCUUUCCUUUAUUAGCAUCAUCACUCGUAGUUUCUGCCUCAGGUCACUUUAACCUUAUCAGGUGUAUUACCAAAACCCAUCGUCUCCUUGAAUAUUCUCGGCUUAAAGUCUGCCACCAGAGGCUGAAGGCGCUUGGUCACCUUUUAUCCAUUCGUUUUUCUUUCAGUGCACAUUUAAUGAGCACCUGCUACGUGCCAGGCAUAAGGCCAGGCGUAGUGCUGGAC
rnacentral:lncRNA from 1 species